CACGAACCGUACGAACGUUAUUCGGAAUUAUUGGGCUUAAAGGGUGCGUAGGCGGCUCAGUAAGUUGGGUGUGAAAGCCCUCGGCUUAACCGAGGAACUGCGCCCAAAACUACUGGGCUCGAGGGAGACAGAGGUGAGCGGAACUACGGGUGGAGCGGUGAAAUGCGUUGAUAUCCGUAGGAACACCAGGGGCGAAAGCGGCUCACUGGGUCUCUUCUGACGCUGAGGCACGAAAGCUAGGGGAGCGAACGGGAUUAGAUACC
rnacentral:rRNA from 1 species